ACGGCGGUAUUCGGUAUUCCCAUUGGUAUUA
rnacentral:sRNA from 13 species